GGCUGACCUCGAACUCGCAGCACUCCUCCUGCCUCCGCCUCGGACUGCUGGGAUUACAAGCCUGUUCCGCCACAGCUGGCUCUCUUAACAGUUUUUAGGGUUAACAGUCAGCUCCAGAUUUGAGGAAAUUGAAGAAUGUGCAGGAACUUUUACUUCCAUUGCAGGUCCCAAAGAUGAGGACUCCAGUAAGGUACCCAGUGGAAGCGCCUCUCAGCAGGCAUCGGCCGACUUCAGGAGGCUCCUGAUCAACAGGUAGAAGGGUAGGAAGGCGGUGGAGGAUUGUAGGUUGUAGCUUCAGAAAACUUCCCCUCCUGGGGCUGCCUCUUUGGGUUGUGUGUGUUUAGUGGGGGGAAUCCUAAUCUAACAGAUUUGAUACUUUUCCGACACAAGGGUUCCCUAAAGGGGAAGGGCCAGAAGAGAAAAAGGAGCCAUUGGUCCUCUUCCUGUGUUGGAACCUGACAUGCUAAGGUCAAU
ensembl:lncRNA